rnacentral:rRNA from 1 species
GAUGAACGCUGGCUACAGGCUUAACACAUGCAAGUCGAGGGGCAACGACGGGGAAGCUUGCUUCUCCGGGCGUCGACCGGCGCACGGGUGAGUAAUGCGUAUCCAUCUUGCCUCUGACUGAGGGUUAACCCGUCGAACGUAGGCUUAAUCCCUCAUGGCCUCGUCUGUGGGCAUCCAACGACGUCUAACGUUUUCCUCGGUCAGAGAUGGGGAUGCGUCUGAUUAGCUUGUUGGCGGGGUACCGGCCCACCAAGGCGACGAUCCGUAGCCGUUCUGAGUGGAGGAGCAGGGACACUCGAACUGAGACAGGGACCAGACUCAUACGGGAGGGAGCAGUGGGGAAUAGUGGAUAAGGGGCGGAAGCCUGAGCCAGACACACCGAGUGGGUGAAGAAGGUGUCCGGGUUGUGAAGUUGUAUUGUUGUGAAAGAAGAGAAGAAGGGUGGGACGUCGCUGUUCUGACGGGACCCAAAGAAAAAGCACCGGCUAACUUCGUG